AGCCGGCUCCCGUCGUUCACUUCAAAGAGCCGGUUCUUAGAGCUGGAUCGUUCGCGACCGACACUUAACUAAUACUGAGUGAUUCUGACCCCGCCGAUGACAUGUUUACUGCGGACACACGUGGACAACUUUAUGAGCCGGAGUGCACCGGAGGGAAAAGUGGAGAAACUUCUGAGCUGAACUGGAGAGCAGGAUAGAUCUACCUGGUGGUGCAGGUUAACCACCACUGGGGCUGCACCGUUUGAGGACAGUGGACAUCAGUAGACUGCGGGAGCAACACGUUUACAGCAGGUUAAUUUGCAACACGGAAAAUGACAAAAACUAAAAUCCAAGGGGAUUGCCCCAUCUGUGGCAAGUUGCUUCAGUGCAUUUCGAAGCACCUGAGGGAGGUUCAUAACCUGAGAAAUGGUAAAGAAAGGGCUAUCCUCAACAGCCUGGCCACAGGGAGGACCCACCUGUGUGGGGGCCCUUGCCCACUGCUGCUUUGCAACACCACAAUGUUGCAUUUAGAAAGCAUCUGCAGACCCAUAAAGACCUCACCCAGAGGCGGAUUGAUUCAGAAUUGAAAUAUUUUAAGCGGCGCACUGCCGUUGGACAGUUGGCGGAACUGUAGGGGUCUAACCCAAACCUCCCGAUGGUCAGCGAGCUGGACCUAUAGGAGGGACCUGCCGAGUGCCAGAACCCCUCCUGUGUCCAGAUGCGGCAGAAGGUGGCCGAUCUUGAGUAUGAGGUCCAGGAGUUGGGUCAGGGCGUGCAGAUUCUCAGGCAGCAGGCAGUGGCGCCAGGGCCCACACCACAGCAGCAUGCAUGGAUGCCAGGGCCUGCACCACAGCAGCAGCAGGCAGGGGUGCCAGGGCCUGCACCACAGCAGCUGGCAGUGGCGCCAGGGCCUGCACCACCACAGCAGUGGUAGGAAAGGGACCAGGGCCUGCACCACCACAGCAGUGGUAGGCAAAGGGGCCAGGGCCUACACCCAGGGGGGCCAGUGUCCUGGCUGUUCCCGGCCUAAAAAGGACCUGCAAAACAAGGCACAUAGUAAUAAAUUUGGAGGAGGAGGAGGAAGACCCUCUGCAGGUUGAGGAGGAGGAGGAGGAGCAGUGGACGGAGGAGGAGGAGGAGGAGGAGGAAGAGCCCCUGCUGGAGGAGAAUGAGGCCGCACCUUCAGCACAAGCCUCAGAGGAGAAGGAAGAGGCGAAUAAAAUGGUUUUGGUUUAAUGGGUGAUGAUACAAUUGUCGCUCAUACUUAACGAUAACAAUGCUGUGUGUUUCUUGUUUCCGGAGGAGGGCCAGAGCAAGGGCCUAAAGGAGGCCAUUGAAAGUAUCGUGGCGGAGCAGAAACUUAAGGGCCAAAGCCCCGAGAGGCGGCCGUCACAGAGCCAAAGCCCCGAGAGGCGGCCGUCUCAGAGCCAAGGCUCCGAGAGGCAGCCGUCACAGAGCCAAAGCCUCGAGAGGCAUGAGUCAAAGAGUCAAACCACCAAGAAGCCGACAUCACACACCAAAAGCCCCAAGAGGAGGGCAAGUGAGAGUCAAAGCCCAAAGAAGAGGGCUUCAGAAGCUCAAAUACACAAGCCACUGGUCAAGAUAGGGAAAGAGCAAAGCCUCCAAGAUGAGGAACUUUUCCUCCCCCUCCUCAAUGGAAAGCUACCUGGAGGACUACUCCACGUUUGCCUUCUGCCCUGAGGGGACAGAGAAAAUGCAGCAAAACGCUGUAUGGACAGCCAGCAGGGCGAGAGCCUUUGUGAAAUAUAUGAUGGUGGGGUGGGAAUCCACCAAUUACUGGACGUGGGAGUUCCUCUUCAACAUAAAACAUCU